UACGGAGGGUGCAAGCGUUAAUCGGAAUUACUGGGCGUAAAGCGUGCGCAGGCGGUUUGUUAAGUCUGCUGUGAAAUCCCCGAGCUCAACUUGGGAAUUGCAGUGGAUACUGGCAAGCUGGAGUACGGUAGAGGAAGGUGGAAUUCCCGGUGUAGCAGUGAAAUGCGUAGAGAUCGGGAGGAACACCAGUGGCGAAGGCGGCCUUCUGGACCAGUACUGACGAUCAUGCACGAAAGCGUGGGGAGCAAACAGG
rnacentral:rRNA from 1 species